rnacentral:rRNA from 1 species
UACAGAGGGGGCAAGCGUUGUUCGGAAUUACUGGGCGUAAAGGGCGCGUAGGCGCCUUCUAAGUCGAACGUGAAAUCCCUGGGCUCAACCCAGGAACUGCGUCCGAUACUGGAAGGCUUGAAUCCGGGAGAGGGAUGCGGAAUUCCAGGUGGUAGCGGUGAAAUGCGUAGAUAUCUGGAGGAACACCGGUGGCGAAGGCGGCAUCCUGGACCGGCAUUGACGCUGAGACGCGAAAGCGUGGGGAGCAAACAGG